rnacentral:lncRNA from 1 species
AUUGUCACGCGGCCUUUAACUGAUUUGUCCAAAUUAAUAAAGUUUUCUUCUUUUCCUGUCAUGUGACUACUACAACUACUAUCGACAUACCAAAUAUUGUUAGCAUUUUUUUCUAAUGAACGACAUACAAAAAGUACAUUAUCGUUUUCAUUCUUUUCAUAAGCAAAAUUCGCAUUCUGUUGUUUUAAUCGACAAAAGCGCUCGAUGUGACCAAAUUUUUUACAAUA